UGUCGUUAUUCAUUAAUCUUUCAAACAUGUCUCGUACAAAAGAGGCUACACGUACAAGAUGAGAUUCUCGGAUCAGAAACAGUGGGUGGACCCCAUGUGUCUAAUCUAAAGGAGUUCUGUCAACCCCUCUGUACAUAGAGCAUAAAUCAUCUCGUACACGCCAUUCAUUCUUAUCAGUUUUCUUCAUGGCAGUGCUGGCUGCCUUAUCUUGAAAGAGUUUAGCCAAUCAAUUGCACUUAAAUAUUAAU
rnacentral:lncRNA from 1 species